UUAAAUUAAGUUUAGGAAAGCGUCAGUUUUAUGAUUUGUAUUCAUUAUAUUUUGACAGAUGCAGAUUUAAUUCAGUAAUUUUAAGUAUUUUCUAUUACAAUUACCUUUGAGAGAUGUUACUGAAAAUCCUGUCAAACAUAAAAGCUUAAGAUUUAAACGUGUAGUAUUAGGCAGACAAUUGACAAAUGCUCGCCAAUUAAGGGAUUAAAGGUCACUAGAAUAUCAGCCUAAUCUUUUUUUUAUGGGUAUAAUCAUGUCGGUAUUUGUUAUUUACCAAUAGUAUAUUAGUAUUUUGACCAGGGACACAUUUUACCUGGCAAUUUAUGUAAAAGUACUUUUAUACCUGUGAUGGCUUAAGUUAAACACUGUGGGUCUGGAAACAUUACUUGAGUGUUUAACCCUCCUGCCUCAUGUGUCUCAACAGAAGACCUUUUAUCUGUCCAUGCUGUUUCUCCCAGCCUGAAGAAAGACCUUAAAGAGUUUAGAUGUCAGUUCAGAACAAUCAUCUAAUUGGAACAACACGACUCCUGAGCAGUUCUGGUAGUUGGGAAUGAGAGAAACCAGGCAUAACAUGCUGAGGAUACUGACUGGGACAUUACCACCAACCAUGAUGGAGAGAUUGUGGUUCUCAAACUGAGCUGCACUUGAGGGAAGAACACAUACAAGUGGAUCAGACACUGCAGCGCUGGACCUGUAAUUAACACACUGUGCAUAUUUUUCUCAAUGGGUGAUAGUUUCUGCAUUUUAAAAAGACAGAUUCGCAUUUAUCAAAUUGUUAUUUUGUAUGUUAGUUGUAGGGCUGCAACAACCAAAUAAUUUAAUUUAAUAAUCAGAUAAAAAAGG